CAGGUGCCACCCGCUGAUGUCACCCCUUGUCUCUCGCAGUGCCGAGGAAUGUAAACAAGUGUGCUGGGCUCUGAGGGACUUCACCCGCCUGUUCCGAUAGCUCCGGCUGCGCACGGCUCCUGUCUCCCAGGAAUGUCUUUAAGGAGAAGACAGGAAAAGAGCAACCCAAGAAUGUGUCCCACAAUCAGCCGAGGGCUCUCGCCCGCUCCAGCGUGUCCCGGGGCCGCGGGAGGACGGCCCGAGGGGUUCCGCCUGCCCGGGCACAUCCACGGCCCAGAUCUCGGCACCGCCACGAGAGAAACAGCCCAAAAUGGGGAAAGAAACCCCCCCCCCAACACCCAACUCCAAGAUCCUCCAGACACCGGAGUCAGACGGAUCCGCACGGAUUUGCCCGGCAGCAAAACAAGAAGUUAGAAAAACUUUCUGUGAAAUGGAGA